UACAGGUAUCUCCCCUUCAUUGAAUUUGUAGUCAAUUCAUCUCAGGGUGUCAUAAGCCUCCAAAACAGCUGGUAAAACUCCAUGUUAAGAGACCGUGAACUGCUGCUUCCAGACACUGGGGAGCAUUUGGGAUACGAUUUCACCCAUCUGCUGCAAUUGUAGUGGAACAUUUAGUAUGGAGACUCUUGUGGCCUUUGUGAUUCCCAAUAAAUUCAGAUGAAUUAG